ACCGCGCCCACGCCGCGCUUCUCCAGAAGUUCCAGACCUGCGGGCGCGUCCGUGAGAAGUGCGCAGCUGCCGGCGCCGGCAGGCGAUAAUCUGUGUCGCUGCUCCAGGGAUGGCAGUGCUUUGUGAUGGGAAGACCCUCCUUCGCAGUCUGCCGUGAGCAUCCUUUUUGCUUUGGAUCCCGCCCGGAGACCCAGGCCGUCCUCUCUUCCGGGUCAGUUUCCUCAGAGGCGAAACCGGACUCGCUCCCGAGUAGAUUCGGACCUCGGGGUCCGAGGAGCGCGGUUCCUUCUCCCUCGCGUGGGACAGGUGUUACCGGGCACACUCGUUCCACACCCGGCUUCUUUCCAGGAAGCGCAAACUCAGUUUUCUAUAAGCACCAUGGACAACCCAGUUAUGAACUCUGGUUGCAUUAUAAAAGAACCAGACAGAUAUGUGAGAGGUUAAGUUCCAGGCCACCAACCAACUUUCUUCAACUUUGAUCACUGACAUCAGGUAAAAUCACCAUUGUCAGAAAGUGACUGCAAAAGCUGCCUGUAGCACUAGUACCCAGCUUAUGUAGUAUGC
rnacentral:lncRNA from 1 species